rnacentral:sRNA from 1 species
UUAAGGGACUAUAUAUUUACACAAAGAUUUUCAAAAAAUAUUAUCCUAUUAUCUUAUAAAAUUUUAUCAAAUUUUUCAUUAGCGACUUGGGAAACAUUAAUUUUUUCUCCUAUCAGAAAAGAUUAUAAUUAUCCAUAGAAUCAUUAGAAGAAACAGAAACAUCGUUGGAUAAUGUCUUUUCGCUUGAAAUCGAAUUUCAAAUCGUUCGAUAACAACUACAACUAGAAUCUCAUAGAAACACUAACACUUGAUAGACUUUUUGAAUCAGAAUCUUCAAAGUUUGAUCUAUAUAAAACAAUUCUUCUCAUUUUCAUUGGAUGCAUCACAUGAUGUACAGAAUUAUACAGCACAC